ACGUAAUACCCGGUUCAGUGGUCAUUGUGAUAUCCAAGUGGUCAACCCCACACAAUUCUCAGCACCAAUCUCACUCACAGUCACGGCACAGAACUCAGAUCCUGGUUGGAGUCCCAACUCCUGACUCGUAAGCAAAACUUUGAAAUUUCGCAUCUCCUUUUCACUAUAUCCUCAAAGAAACUGCAAUCGAUCAAGCAAGUCUCCAGUCGUUGAAGUACGAUCAGCGUAAUUACCCAGAUCGUAUAAAUUAGAAAAUGCCUUACAGGAGAAUCAUGGAGGUAGAGCCGCCGAGUCCGUUAAGGUACAUAAUCGGCGCAGCAAUAAUGAUGAUCGGAGUGGUGUUACCCGUCGGUUACAUGAUGUUUCGUAACAAGAGGGGUCCUUCUUCUUCUUCCAAUUACUCCAAACAGACGUAGGGCAAAGUUUUGAUAGAGAUUUAAAGAGAGGAUUUUUAUACAAUAGAAAUUGCGCUGUCUGGGUUAAGUUUGAAGGAGUUGCAAGAAGAAAAGGAUGAGGUGCAUUGACGGAAAAUCUAAUUCUGUUAUAUUUGUUAUUGCUGGGGAACUUGAGUUUUAUAAAAUGGAACUGAGUGUGGUUUGAUUCUAUGUUUUUGAUCUAGUAAAUAUGCUAAUGCCAUUUCAAACUCGUCUUUGUUCGUUGGAUGAAUAUGUGCAAGAAGGACAGGCACUUGAUUGAAUUUGUCUUCUUGUUCUGUUUCUAGCCAUUAUCAUCUAGGGAACCUGCGUAUGAGAAUACGCAACGGGUUAUGUGUUUUUGUGGUGAAUUUCACAUUUACUUUGUAGAAUCUAGAAUGUCAAGUGAUGUCGCUGACACUGCAGAAUGCUUGUUGUUUGAA